rnacentral:tRNA from 1 species
GGAACAUAGUUUAAUAGGUAAAACCGCGAAAUGCAAUGUCGAACGCAGCCUGAACGCUGCUAGUAGAUAACAGAGUAGCAAUUGUCGGUUCGAAUCCGGCUGUUCCG